AGCCUCUGGCUAUAGGAAAUUGUUAGUGGCAGACGGGUGAGUAAUGCGUAGGAAUCUACCUAGUAGUACGGAAUAGCCAUUAGAAAUGGUGGGUAAUACUGUACAAUCCCCGAGGGGGAAAGAUUUAUCGCUAUUAGAUGAGCCUACGUUAGAUUAGCUAGUUGGUGAGGUAAUGGCUUACCAAGGCUAUGAUCUAUAGCUGGUCUGAGAGGACGAUCAGCCACACUGGAACUGAGAUACGGUCCAGACUCCUACGGGAGGCAGCAGUGGGGAAUAUUGGACAAUGGGCGAAAGCCUGAUCCAGCUAUGCCGCGUGAGUGAAGAAGGCCUC
rnacentral:rRNA from 1 species